AAGAACUCCCACUCCUUGCCCAACAACUUCAUAAAUUCCCAAAACCAAAUAGAAACAAGAUGCCGCUUCUUAUCACCAAAAGCAAACAUGGAAGUACUGUUCUGUUAGAAGAUCAGUUGAGGGGUCUUCUGAAGAGAUACGACGCUAACAAUGAUGGCAAGCUAAGCAAGGCUGAGCUGAAGGUUGCGUUCAAAAGCCUAGGCUCUCAUUUUGCUGGCUGGAGAGCUAUGAGGGCAAUUCACCACGCUGACGCCAAUGGCGAUGGAUGUAUCAGCGAAGAUGAGAUGGAGGAGCUUAUCAAAUAUGCUAUAAAAUUGGGUUUUCAAAUGUAUUAGACUAAUAAAUCUAAUAUAUAUAUUCUGUAUCAAGAACGUACGUGCUCGGAAUAAUUAUAAGAGUGCAAAUUUCUAUAUAAUUCUUCCUUUAAUUUAUGGUAGUUCUAAUUUUAUUGGCUCCAUAGCCGAUUUCAAGUAGAAGGUCCUUUGUUAGAGAUAUACUGCAAUUAAAUACAACAUGUAAAG
rnacentral:misc_RNA from 1 species